AGAGUUUGAUCCUGGCUCAGGAUGAACGCUGGCGGCGUGCUUAACACAUGCAAGUCGAGCGAAGCACUUUUGCGGAUUUCUUCGGAUUGAAGCAAUUGUGACUGAGCGGCGGACGGGUGAGUAACGCGUGGGUAACCUGCCUCAUACAGGGGGAUAACAGUUGGAAACGGCUGCUAAUACCGCAUAAGCGCACAGUACCGCAUGGUACCGUGUGAAAAACUCCGGUGGUAUGAGAUGGACCCGCGUCUGAUUAGCUAGUUGGUGGGGUAACGGCCUACCAAGGCGACGAUCAGUAGCCGACCUGAGAGGGUGACCGGCCACAUUGGGACUGAGACACGGCCCAAACUCCUACGGGAGGCAGCAGUGGGGAAUAUUGCACAAUGGGGGAAACCCUGAUGCAGCGACGCCGCGUGAGCGAUGAAGUAUUUCGGUAUGUAAAGCUCUAUCAGCAGGGAAGAAAAUGACGGUACCUGACUAAGAAGCCCCGGCUAACUACGUGCCAGCAGCCGCGGUAAUACGUAGGGGGCAAGCGUUAUCCGGAUUUACUGGGUGUAAAGGGAGCGUAGACGGCAUGGCAAGCCAGAUGUGAAAGCCCGGGGCUCAACCCCGGGACUGCAUUUGGAACUGUCAGGCUAGAGUGUCGGAGAGGAAAGCGGAAUUCCUAGUGUAGCGGUGAAAUGCGUAGAUAUUAGGAGGAACACCAGUGGCGAAGGCGGCUUUCUGGACGAUGACUGACGUUGAGGCUCGAAAGCGUGGGGAGCAAACAGGAUUAGAUACCCUGGUAGUCCACGCC
rnacentral:rRNA from 2 species